rnacentral:rRNA from 1 species
GACGUUACCUACAGAAGAAGCACCGGCUAACUCCGUGCCAGCAGCCGACGGUAAUACGGGAGGGUGACGAGUACGUUAAGUACGGUAAUUACGUGGGACGUAAAAGCGCAUGCAGGCCGGCCUUAGUUAAAGUCAGAUGUAGAAAACGGCCCGGGUACCUUAAACCCGUACGGUAAAUUGCUAUUUUAGAAAACGUGGCAGGCUAGAGUCUUGUAGAGGGGGUAGAAUUUCAGGUGUAGCGGUGAAAAUGCGUAGAGAUCUGAAGGAAUACCAGUGGCGAAGGCGGCCCCUGGACAAAGACUGACGCUCAGAUGCGAAAGCGUGGGGAGCAAACAGGAUUAGAUACCCUGGGAA